rnacentral:rRNA from 1 species
AGACCCGAAACCCGGUGAUCUAGCCAUGGGCAGGUUGAAGGUUGGGUAACACUAACUGGAGGACCGAACCGACUAAUGUUGAAAAAUUAGCGGAUGACCUGUGGCUGGGGGUGAAAGGCCAAUCAAACCGGGAGAUAGCUGGUUCUCCCCGAAAGCUAUUUAGGUAGCGCCUCGUGAAUUCAUCUCCGGGGGUAGAGCACUGUUUCGGCUAGGGGGCCAUCCCGGCUUACCAACCCGAUGCAAACUGCGAAUACCGGAGAAUGUUAUCACGGGAGACACACGGCGGGUGCUAACGUCCGUCGUGAAGAGGGAAACAACCCAGACCGCCAGCUAAGGUCCCAAAGUCAUGGUUAAGUGGGAAACGAUGUGGGAAGGCCCAGACAGCCAGGAUGUUGGCUUAGAAGCAGCCAUCAUUUAAAGAAAGCGUAAUAGCUCACUGGUCGAGUCGGCCUGCGCGGAAGAUGUAACGGGGCUAAACCAUGCACCGAAGCUGCGGCAGCGACACUGUGUGUUGUUGGGUAGGGGAGCGUUCUGUAAGCCUGCGAAGGUGUCCCGUGAGGG